rnacentral:piRNA from 1 species
UCACAGUGGGAGAGUCCGUUGGAGU